UACGAAGGGGCUAGCGUUGCUCGGAAUCACUGGGCGUAAAGCGCACGUAGGCGGCUUUUAAGUCAGGGGUGAAUCCUGGAGCUCAACUCCAGAACUGCCUUUGAUACUGAGAAGCUUGAGUCCGGGAGAGGUGAGUGGAACUGCGAGUGUAGAGGUGAAAUUCGUAGAUAUCGCAAGAACACCAGUGGCGAAGGCGGCUCACUGGCCCGGUACUGACGCUGAGGUGCGAA
rnacentral:rRNA from 1 species